UCUCCUAUUGAGCAGCAGCAAAAUGUCUUUUAUCAUUUGAGGCAUAAAAUAACUCCAGGGAAAGAGAACUCCAUGGAAAGGACAACACCCUGCUCUCCUUUCAUUCACUAUUUGCCCUUCAAACCACCAGGAGCCUGAGGUGAUGAUAUUUGCAUGGGACACAAAAUAAUUUGAAUUACUCGAGGAUAGAGACUAGCCUGAAGAAUAUCAGAAGGACCUUGAGAAAGGAGGUGCUGAGGGAGUGUGAUGCCAAAUUAAAUUCUGCUCUUCUCAAAUGCCAGGUAGCCAGGAGGAAGGCAGAGGAGAUUUUUUGAACUACAGCAUCAACACAGGAGCAAAAUAUAUCACAUGCAGAAAAGCUUACAAUAAAACAACAUAAUGAGGACUUUACAGUCAGGCUGCUCUGCACUUGAGAUCCUUGUCAGAUCUGCCUGCAUCUCUUCUAAACUUUUAUUGAUGCAGUACAUAUGAAUGCUGGAAAAUUAAUAUUUAGAUUGUACUGCAAACUCUUCCAGUUACUUGAGCAGCAUGUCAUUCAUCACUGUGACUUCUUGUUUAAAACCUCUGGCACUUACAUCAUUAUCUUUCAGGGGGGCUUUUGUUGUUGUUUCUAGAGAUAAGUUUUUUUUGGCUCUGGCAUCUCAUUAACCUGAUUUAGAGAUUCUCCUACCUCUGCUCUUGCUGCAAAAUUGAAUUCACAAAUGCUCAUGCAGGAGAUGAUUAGGGAUUCUCUUUGAGUUUGUCCCAACAUAACUGCCUAAUAUGACUAAAAAGAAAGAUAUAAAAAGUAUUUCAAGUCCUCAGAAAUGAAUUCAAAAGAAUAUGAAUAUCGGGGCCUUGGUUAGUAGCAGGCAGUGCAUGGGUACCAGGAUAAUGGAAAUCACUCAGUUUCCUUAGGAUGGGCACAAGUACAAUGACAUAACCAUUGCCUUAUAUCAGAGCAAAUAUUUCCAGGAAAAAGGAACAAGUAAAAGAUAACCUUAAUGCCAGUAAAACAGUCUCUACAAGGAAUUUUAUCUGUUCAUAAAUAAAUAAAUAGAGAAAAAAUAACAUAUUUUCCUUUCUCAGUAAAAUACCUAUAAAGGCGUAAUAAAAUUGUUGGUAACAACAGACAAGGAGAAGGCCGAGGUGCUCAACAAUCUUUUUGCCUUGGUCUUCCCUGGUCAUCACACAGCCCUAGUUAGAUUAGAAGGAAGGAACUGGGGAAGCAAUGACCCUUGUGCUGUAAGUAAAAAUCUGGUUCGUGACCACCUAAAGAAUAUGGACAUUAAUGAGUCUAUGGAUCCUGAUGAGAAGCAUCCCAGGGUCCUGAGGGAAUUGGCUGAUGUAGCUGCCAAGCCACUCUCAAGGAUAUUUUAAAAGUCAUAGCAAUCAGGUGAAGCUCCUGGUGACUGAAAAAAGGCAACAUCACACCCACUUUUAAGAAGGGUAAAAAGGAUGACCCUGGGAACUACUGACCUGUCAGUCCCAUCUCUAUGCUGGGAAAGACCAUGGAAGCUAUGCUAACACACAUGGAAGGCAGGGAGGUGAUACAGGAGAACAAGCAUGGCUUUACCAAGGGCAAAUCCUGCUCAAUCAACUUCGUGGACUUCUAUGAUGAUGUAACUGAAUCAAAGGGUAAGGGAAGAUCCACUGAUGUCAUCUAUCCAGAUUUCAGUAAGGCCUUUGACAUGGUACCCCACAACAUUCUUCUCUCCAAAAAGGAAAGAUAUGGAUUUGAUGAACGGACUGUUCAACAGACAAAGAACGGUCAAUGGCUCAAUGUCUGGAUGGAGAUUAGUGACAAGUGGUGUUCCCCAGGGGUCAGUGCUGGGGCUGAUACUUUUUGAUACCUUCACCAAUGACACUGACAGUGGGUGGGGUCAAGUGUACCCUCAGAAAGUUUGUGGAUGGCACUAAGCUCUGGGGUGUGGUUGACACGCCUGAGGGACAGGAUGCUAUCCAGAGAGACAGGUUUGAGCAGUGGGCCCAGGUGAACCUCACAAGGGUCAAUAAAUCUAAGUGCAAGGUGCACCUGAAUCAAGGCAACCUCCACUACCAAUACAAGCUGGGGGAUAAAAAGAUUGAAUGCAGCCCUGCUGAAAAGGACCUGGGAAUGCUAGUGGAUGGCAAAAAGGACAUGAGCCAAAAAUCUGCCCUUGCAGCCCAGAAAGCCAACCAUAACCUGGGCUGCAUCAAAGGGAGCAUGGACAGCAGGUCAAGGGAGGUGAUCCUGCCCCUCUACUCAUCACUGAUGAGGCAUCACCUGAAGUACAGCAUCCAGAUGCAGAGUCCUCAGUACAGAAGAAACAUGGACUUAUUGGAGAGUGUCCAGAGGAGGGCCCAAAAAAUGAUCUAAGGGAUGGACACCUUUCCAGUGAGUACAGGUUGAGAGAGCUGAGGCUCUUCAGUUUGCAGAAGAGAAAGCUCUGGGGUGACCUGAUAGUGGCCUAAAAGUUAGUAGCUAAAAGAGAGCUAUGGGAAAGAAGGGAAUAGACUCUUUAGCAGGGUCCAUGGGGAAAGGACAAGGGGAAAUAGUUUCAAACUUAAAGAGGGGAGAGUUAGGUUGGAUAUAAGGAAAACAGUAUUUUACAGUGAGGGGAUGAGGCACUGGAAUAGGUUGCCCAGAGAGGUGGUGGAUGCCCCAUCCCUGGAGACACUCAAGAUCAGGCUUGACCAGGGUCUGAGCAACAUGAUCUUGCUGUGCAUGACCUUGUUCAUUGCAGGGGAGUUGGUCUAGAUGACCUUUAAAGUUCUCUUCCAACUCAAAGGAUUCUACGAAAAGUUAUAUUUGAAUUUAUUGAAAUUCACACAUACUCUCCAUUUUGGAGUAUAGUGAUUUUACGUUCAGUCCUCUGACCAGACAGAAGACGUUUUCAGAAUGGUUUUUCCCCUUGCUACUUCCUGUGGUUUCAAUGUUUCUAAUCCAUUGCAGAGGGAGCAGAUAAACUCAAUAGAAAAGCCAGAACACUUUCCAGCCUGGCUCGCACCAGCUGCAUCUCCAACUGGUGUGACUAUGCAAACACUGGUGUGAGCAAUCCCUCUGCAGCUGAUGCUGAUGCGAACUUGUGCUUAGUGUAGGACCCAGGGAGUGUUACUGCAUCCUCCGCUAACACAGAAACAUAAGUCUGCAUAGUUUUAGUAGCAGCUGUCAAGAGCUGUUCUGAACUCAGUAAAACACUGCAUAACUUUGGUGUUAGCUGAAUACCCCUCAUUUUCCACGCCCCUAAGCACAUAAUAUUCUAAUAGGGACAGCAUGAGAACCAGGACUAUGCCACAUAAAGCUACAAUAACCCCCAGUAAACCUGUGCUUAGGUUUGCAUACAGACAUUGAGAUUGUCUCUACAAGUGGUCAAAAACACACUAUAUCUCUAACCCUGCACUCACUAACUUGCAGUCAGCUCCCAUAUCCACAACCAAAGCACAUUAUUUCUUUAAUGUCUGGUCCCUUUAGACACUAAAUGGGUGACACAGACUUUCUAUUUGCUUACAGGAAUGUUACUGCAACCUCUCCUUGAUUCUGCUCCAGUGUCCACCAGUUAGCCUUGAAGUAGAUAUAAUAAGCUCCAUCACUGAUACGUGGUGCUGAUGCUUUCUGGUUGAAACUCACUCUUCUACUUCCAGAGGAUGACAGCUGUUCGUGUCCUUUAAUCCCCCUGCCUGGCAUAGAGCUUUACCCUUAUUUCAGCGCUGCAUACAUUUGGUUUAUGUGGCUUCUCAGAAGAUGCUAAUAAGAUGCUUUUUCCCUUUUCCUAACUUCUGAAACUGAUUAGCUCAGAAAAAUUAUGUUAGGGGUGUUGUAACUCCUUUACUGCGGAUUCAAGUAUUUAAGAUGUGUAGUAUUUCAUUUGGACUGUGCCAUCCAUGGCCUCAGGGUAAUCAGGAAUAAAACAUAGCAUCACUGACUCUCUGGCAUGUUUUCCCUGAAUAUGUUGUAGAUUUCACACUUGAGUACCUUAUCUCCGGCAGCACUGUUUGUGGCUGGACAGAGUUCUGUGAGCAGCACUGGAUACUACAAGCUCUUCUCCACUCAAGAUUUCCUAUGGAUUUUGCACCACAUUAAUGAACUUGUAUGAUACGCUAUUGUGACAAUCUUUCUGACAAAAAAUCCCAUCACUCUGAGCUAUUCCUUGCCCAUAAUCGCAAAGCCUUUUGUGUACUUGGUCGGCUAUUCUUUUGUUAGUCUCUGCCUAUGAUGGCUCUCUCCAGCUCCUGUGUAGUUAGCUCAUUUUACAUUUCUCGUUUGAACUUGUCAGAUUUCUUGUCGGUAAUAGGUAGCACUUAAAUCACAUUUACUUCAAACUCUUCUUCCUGCAGCUUCUUUUCACUGUUUAUCAGUACUCUUGAAACCAGUCUAUUAUAAGAAGCUCUUUACUGGGCCACUAUUUCAGCCUAAUGAGAAUUUUUGCAAUUUCACGAUCAUUUUUUGAAAGUCCAGGUAGUGCUUUGCACAAAGAUUUCUGUAAUACAUCUUUUGGAGGUUUACAGCCUUCCUCUCCUCUAACCUAUUUCUCCCCAUAAACAUAUUUAUGAAACAAUUGCUGGCAUCUCUUUUUCCAGUCUGAAAAUUUCCCUUUUGCAUUGCUAGUGUUUCAGAAAAAUUCACAGCCAUGCAGAAGGGCAAGAUACAGAAUCACACAAUCAUUGGGUCUGGAGGGAUCCAUGAGGAUAAUCGAGUCCAGCUCCUGGCCCCACACAGGACCACCCAAAAUCAGACCCUAUGUCUGAGAGCACUGUCCAUCACUCCUUGAACUCUGCCACUCAGGGCCGUGCCCACAGCCCUGUGCAUCCCGCUCCAUGCCCACCGCGCUGUGGUGCAGCCCCUUUCCCUGACCCCCAGCUGCCCUCCCCUGACAGCUCCAUGCCGUUCCCUCGGGCCCUGUCGCUGUCACACAGAGCAGAGCUCAGCGCUGCCCCUCCGCUCCCUGUGAGGAGCUGCAGCCGCCAUCAGGCCUCCCCUCAGCUCCUCUGCUCUGCACUGAGCACACCAAAUGCUUAUGUUGUCUACAGGCUGGAUUCAGAGACAUUUUUUGGCUCCAGCAACACGGGAUGGAGCAGUUGUCAUUGCCUUCGGCAGGUUGUUUCACACUGUAGCUAAUUGCUGCAGACUUCUCCCACAUCCUAUCUUAGCCAGCCUCCCGUGCUGUCUGGAUGACUUUUCACAAGGCCUAGCCUUUUCAAGGUUUCAGCUCUUCAAGGUGGGAGUAUUUUGUUCAGUUUGACUCAUUAUCAAGCUGUUGCAUUUUGCAAUUACAAAAAAAAAAAAAAAAGAAAAAGAAAAAAAAAAGCUCUAAUGAAAGCCUUUAAGCCCAAGCCUCCGCAAUCAUCCUUGUAGUCCUCAGCACCCUGAGCUCCUUUCUCAGUCACUGAGGCUGUCUGUCCAUGUAGCUCCCUUUUGCUCCUCUGGGGAAAAAGGCAGAACUUGGCUCAGUAGGGCCUUCUGCAGUAGUUCUACCUGAAGGCCAUAAGUAGUUCAGGACUAACAUAGCUGUUGCUUCCAUGGGAAUUGUGAUUGCUGUGAAAAGCAGAGCUCAGCCCCUGCCCUUGUAAAUGAGUGAGACCUGAGGUGGGAUUCUGUGUGAUGCUGGGCCUGCACAUUGCUGGAGGAAAUCAGAAGCUUCUCUGGGCUGCAGCUAAUACACUAAAUCUGUGUGGGAACUUAAAAAACCUAAUGUUAAUAUACAUUAACUCUCACUUUUGUACCUCACAUUCCCUUGACAGGUUUUUAAAUACCUCUGCUUAAUUCCUGCGCUUCCACACCUUCCACUGGAUGUUUUUGUGCAGUCUAUACAGACAGCCACCAAAUGGAAGAUGGUUUGUUUGAAGACUACAUCGAGAGACAACAAAUAGGGCCCAAAGAAAUGUAUUAGAUUUUGAAUGUCAUGUUGUAAGCCGGUUUGGGUGCUUCUGAGCAGGUGUUUUUAAAAAGCUG